GCACACAUGGGACUAUGGCUGAAGGAGCAGUGCGAUGUAACAUGUUUUAAAAGAAGAAAAGAUAGAAAAAGCGGCUUGGUAGAAACUGCCAGCACCAAAACUGCAAAGCGCAGCGCGGGAGGGGGCCCGAGGGGGGUCGCGGAGUUAAGAAUGCGCAAAGUCUCCCAGGCUCUCUAAAAAGACCACUGAGUUUCAUUCGAACCACUGCCCGAGGACUCGACCCCCCAAACUGGGCAUCACCUGGCAAAUAGCAGUCAGAAGAAAUCCACCCAUCCCCCCCCCAAAAAAAGAAGUGGGGCGGCAGUAGAGCAAAGAGGGGGGAAAUUCAGCGGCCCAUGGAAGUUGGAUUCGGUAACCAGGCUCCAAAGUUGGUGCCGUCACUUGAGGCAUCCAUAAGGAAGCCCAUUGACCUAAUUGCUGCCAUCAACCCAGGGACAAAGCCAAUCGGGUGGACAGCGGAGAGGCAAUAUGGGAAGGACCUUGGUCCUUGAAGAUAUUGUGCCACUAUAUCAAGCAACCGCUGAAGCCUGAAUUACCUCUGGAUGCCUAAUAACGUGGAACAAUAAAUUUCCUUAUUGUUUAAUUUGA